rnacentral:rRNA from 1 species
UUCUUUUUGAUUUUAAUAUAAAGUAUUCUCUGCCNAAUGAUUAAUUAAAUGGCUGCAGUAAUUUAACUGUACAAAGGUAGCAUAAUAAAUWGUUUUUUAAAUGAAUUCUUGAAUGAAAGAGGGGAUGAAAUAUAGUUUUUAUUAAUUAAAUUAUUUAAAUUUUAUUUUAAAGUUAAAAAGCUUUAAUUUUUUUAAGGGACGAGAAGACCCUAUAGAAUUUUAUAUUUUUAUUUUUUUUUAAUUUUAAAUAAAUUAGAUAUAUUUGUUUGGGAGGAAUUUUAAAUUUAAUAAACUUUAAAAUUUUAUUUACAAAAAUUUUUGGAAUAUUAUAUUAAUUGGAUUUAAAUAAAAUUACCUUAGGGAUAACAGCGUAAUAUUUUUUUAUAGUUCUUAUUGAAAAAAAUGUUU